rnacentral:rRNA from 1 species
UAGUGAUUGGCGGACGGGUGAGUAAUAUAUAGUUAACCUGCCCUCGAGAAAGGAAUAACAGUUGGAAACGACUGCUAAUGCCCUAUAUGCCUUUAAGACAUAAGUCUGCAAGGGAAAUGCUUUUGUGCUCGAGGAUGGGACUGUACGGUAUCAGAUAGUUGGUGGGGUAAUGGCCUACCAAGUCAAUGACGCCUAACUGGUUUGAGAGGAUGAUCAGUCACACUGGAACUGAGACACGGUCCAGACUCCUACGGGAGGCAGCAGUGGGGAAUAUUGCACAAUGGAGGAAACUCUGAUGCAGCAACGCCGCGUGGAGGAUGACACAUUUCGGUGCGUAAACUCCUUUUAUAUAGGAAGAUAAUGACGGUACUAUAUGAAUAAGCGCCGGCUAACUCCGUGCCAGCAGCCGCGGUAAUACGGAGGGCGCAAGCGUUACUCGGAAUCACUGGGCGUAAAGAGCGUGUAGGCGGAUAGAUAAGUCAGAAGUGAAAUCCUAUGGCUCAACCAUAGAACUGCUUUUGAAACUGUUUAUCUAGAGUGUGGGAGAGGUAGAUGGAAUUUCUGGUGUAGGGGUAAAAUCCGUAGAGAUCAGAAGGAAUACCGAUUGCGAAGGCGAUCUACUGGAACAUAACUGACGCUGAGACGCGAAAGCGUGGGGAGCAAACAGGAUUAGAUACCCUGGUAGUCCACGCCCUAAACGAUGUACACUAGUUGUUGUGAGGCUUGACCUUGCAGUAAUGCAGUUAACACA